AACAGCGGAGAGUUUGAUCCUGGCUCAGGAUGAACGCUAGCGACAGGCUUAACACAUGCAAGUCGAGGGGCAGCGGUGGUGAAGGCUUGCCUUUACCAGCCGGCGACCGGCGCACGGGUGAGUAACACGUAUGCAACCUGCCUGCCACAGCCGGAUAAUCGGGAGAAAUUCCGUCUAAUACGGCAUAAUGCAUCGACGGGACAUCCUGUUGGUGCCAAAGGUUGAUUCCGGUGGCGGAUGGGCAUGCGUCGCAUUAGUUAGUUGGCGGUGUAACGGACCACCAAGACGACGAUGCGUAGGGGUUCUGAGAGGAAGGUCCCCCACACUGGUACUGAGACACGGACCAGACUCCUACGGGAGGCAGCAGUGAGGAAUAUUGGUCAAUGGGCGGGAGCCUGAACCAGCCAAGUCGCGUGAGGGAUGACGGCCCUAUGGGUUGUAAACCUCUUUUGCCGGGGAGCAAAGUGCCGCACGUGUGCGGUUUGGAGAGUACCCGGAGAAAAAGCAUCGGCUAACUCCGUGCCAGCAGCCGCGGUAAUACGGAGGAUGCGAGCGUUAUCCGGAUUUAUUGGGUUUAAAGGGUGCGUAGGCGGACGCUUAAGUCAGCGGUAAAAUUGCGGGGCUCAACCUCGUCGAGCCGUUGAAACUGGGUGCCUUGAGUGGGCGAGAAGUACGCGGAAUGCGUGGUGUAGCGGUGAAAUGCAUAGAUAUCACGCAGAACUCCGAUUGCGAAGGCAGCGUACCGGCGCCCAACUGACGCUGAAGCACGAAGGCGUGGGUAUCGAACAGGAUUAGAUACCCUGGUAGUCCACGCAGUAAACGAUGAAUGCUAGUUGUCCGGGGCGAUUGAGUUCUGGGUGACACAGCGAAAGCGUUAAGCAUUCCACCUGGGGAGUACGCCGGCAACGGUGAAACUCAAAGGAAUUGACGGGGGCCCGCACAAGCGGAGGAACAUGUGGUUUAAUUCGAUGAUACGCGAGGAACCUUACCCGGGCUCAAACGCAGGAGGGAUGUUUUUGAAAGGAGGCAGCCAGCAAUGGUCUCCUGCGAGGUGCUGCAUGGUUGUCGUCAGCUCGUGCCGUGAGGUGUCGGCUUAAGUGCCAUAACGAGCGCAACCCCUACCUACAGUUGCCAUCGCGUGAUGGCGGGCACUCUGUGGGGACUGCCUGCGCAAGCAGUGAGGAAGGCGGGGAUGACGUCAAAUCAGCACGGCCCUUACGUCCGGGGCGACACACGUGUUACAAUGGCAGGUACAGCGGGAAGCCACCCGGCGACGGGGCGCGGAACCCGAAAACCUGUCUCAGUUCGGAUUGGAGUCUGCAACCCGACUCCAUGAAGCUGGAUUCGCUAGUAAUCGCGCAUCAGCCACGGCGCGGUGAAUACGUUCCCGGGCCUUGUACACACCGCCCGUCAAGCCAUGGAAGCCGGGGGUGCCUGAAGUGCGUGACCGCAAGGAGCGCCCUAGGGUAAAACCGGUGACUGGGGCUAAGUCGUAACAAGGUAGCCGUACCGGAAGGUGCGGCUGGAACACCUCCUUUCU
rnacentral:rRNA from 2 species